rnacentral:misc_RNA from 1 species
GUCCUGGUUUAGAGCUGCUUCUAAGUACUUGAUCCUCAUCCUAGUUGUUUGCCUCUCUCCAGUCCACAUCCAACAUGAUAUCUCUGCCCAGGAAGACGCCCAGAUUGCAGCACCAACAAUAAGAAAGUAAAAUGCGUACUUCAAAACUUCUUGCAUCAUCUUAUCCAUGUCAUUGGCGUUAGACCCGAAAGAGUUAACAAGAUCGGCGAAGAAGCGGAGAAAGAGAGGCAAAGAAGAGCCAUGUACAAGUGCACCAAUAGACCCAAUAGCCAUCAACACAUAAUCCAACCCAUCAGCAAAUCUGAACAGCUCUCCAAACCCAACAGUAGCAACAUCCCCUGACUUCUCUCCAUUACCACUUGGACUACUACUACUACCAGCACCACUACCAUCUUUCUUUGGGGUAGUGUUAUCCAUUUCUCUUCUCUCUAGUACAGUCUCUUGAUGGUUUUCCUCUUGUUGUUGGUGUUCUUUGGAGUUGAUUGUUAGAGUUGGAGUUGGAGGAGCGGAAGCAGUGUUGUUUAUAAAGGGGUCAUGAGCAGGAGGCACGAGUUCGAGGCCUUGCAUUUCGGACCAUUUCCACUGCUCAAUCGUCUUUAUCUCCUGAGACUCUUGUGACAUUUGCAAAAAUUCUCUCUCUUUACUCUUUCGCUUAGCUUAUUUUAGCUUUAUUGAAACAACAAACCCACCACCCACCCUCCCUUACCUCUUCUUUAUUAUCUCACUUCUCUAUCCCACCUGGCUUUUGAGCUCAUGUUCUUUUCCUCCCCCCUCUCUCUCUCUUUUUAAUCCCUUUCUUGGGUUUUUCUUUUUCCCCUUCUUUUUCAAGUUUUUACUCUCCACAUACAGUAUUAUCUAAUCAAACAAUUCUCUUUCUUUCUCUUUCUUUCUUUCUUUCUUCUGUUCCUUCAAUACAAAACACCAAUUAGGCUUUGCUUAUAUUAUAAAAAACAUUGAAAAUGACACAAACAGGUUGAGAGAGAGAGAGAGAGAGAGAGAGA